AAAAACCAUCGUUGUUUUUCAACUACAGAAACUUU
rnacentral:tRNA from 1 species